rnacentral:rRNA from 1 species
UACGAAGGGGGCUAGCGUUGCUCGGAAUCACUGGGCGUAAAGCGCACGUAGGCGGCUUUUUAAGUCAGGGGUGAAAUCCUGGAGCUCAACUCCAGAACUGCCUUUGAUACUGAGAAGCUUGAGUCCGGGAGAGGUGAGUGGAACUGCGAGUGUAGAGGUGAAAUUCGUAGAUAUUCGCAAGAACACCAGUGCGAAGGCGGCUCACUGGCCCGGUACUGACGCUGAGGUGCGAAAGCGUGGGAGCAACAGG